GCCCUGAUGGUCUAGCGGUAUGAUUCUCCCUUAGGGUUAGAACCCAGUUCUGGGAGAGGUCCCAGGUUCGAUCCCUGGUUAGGGCC